CAUGAUCUCAAUCUCCACUUCGUCUCUCUAGUGCUUAGGCUGAGUUAACCGUGUUCUUGUUAUUAGAAAAAGAUAUUCUACAGGCAAUCAAUCUUUUUUUAAAAAAAUGAGUAAGAUGACGUCUCAUUAGCAACCCAUUGGUGGCAUGAAGAAUUGUUCCUUAUAUGAUGAUGGUGAUGAUUAUGUUUCUUCGUUUGCAUGAUCCAAAAGAAGGUUUGCUAAUCCAACGAACUUAAUGAAAAAAAAACUAUAAAGAAGCAAGAGGUGUUGGAGGAGGAAACUAAUUCUGCUCAGGUGUAAAUGUAUUCUACUGGAAAAUUGGCUGAUCACCAAUGUCCAGAAGUACAGAAGAUGGAAAGUCUACACGAGAGGAAAAAAAAAGAAGAAGCCAAAUCUUGGUUGAAUAACUCUUAUCAUAAUUAUAUUAAUUGUUUUUUUUAAGAGAAAAGAAAAGUUUGAGCAUACAUAGUGUCUCCAAAGACAAUAAGAAAUAGAUUGAUUGCUUGUAGAAUAUCUUUUUCUAAUUUAAAAAAAAAGAUUGAUUGCUUGUAGAA